rnacentral:rRNA from 1 species
GUACGGGUCAGCACUACCCUGAGAACGCCCGAUUCGUCUGAUCUCGGAAGCUAAGCAGGGUUUGCCCUGGUUUAGUAGUUGGAUGGAAAGGAUGUGGGCCUAAAUUGGUGAUCAAUAUA